CAGCCGCCACGGUAAUACAGAGGGUGCGAGCGUUAAUCGGAUUUACUGGGCGUAAAGCGUGCGUAGGCGGCUAAUUGAGUCGGAUGUGAAAUCCCCGAGCUUAACUUGGGAAUUGCAUUCGAUACUGGUUAGCUAGAGUGUGGGAGAGGAUGGUAGAAUUCCAGGUGUAGCGGUGAAAUGCGUAGAGAUCUGGAGGAAUACCGAUGGCGAAGGCAGCCAUCUGGCCUAAUACUGACGCUGAGGUACGAAAGCAUGGGGAGCAAACAGGAUUAGAUACCCCCGUAGUCCCUGUCUCUUAUAC
rnacentral:rRNA from 1 species